rnacentral:tRNA from 1 species
UCCUCGGUAGCUCAGUUGGUAGAGCAAGCGGCUGUUAACCGCUGGGUCGUAGGUUCGAGUCCUACCCGAGGAG